ACCCUCCCGAUAGGGCCGCGCCCACGGCAACUGGAAGCUUCCCGUCUCCCCCCCGGGCCUCCCGGGGAGGUUGCGGGCGGCGAGGGGUGCCUCCGGCCGCACGCCCAUUCUUGUCUACUGACCCGGUUGCCUCGGCGGGCCGCGCCUGCUGUGCUACAGCGGCCGUUCGGGGGGGACGCCUGAGGGGGACUCUUGUUUCCUAGGCCACGCCCCGGGCAGCGCUCGCCGGAGGAUUACUCUGGAAAACACACUCUUGAAAGAACAUACCGUCUGAGCGAGCAACGCAAAUCAGUUAAAACUUUCAACAACGGAUCUCUUGGUUCCGGCAUCGAUGAAGAACGCAGCGAAAUGCGAUAAGUAAUGUGAAUUGCAGAAUUCCGUGAAUCAUCGAAUCUUUGAACGCACAUUGCGCCCCCUGGCAUUCCGGGGGGCAUGCCUGUUCGAGCGUCAUUUCAACCCCUCAAGCCCGGCUUGUGUGAUGGACGACCGUCCCCCCUCCCCAGUAACCACCCACCGCUUAGGGGGUGGGGGAGGGAAGGGGGGACCGCGCCCGAAAAGCAGUGGUCAGGCCGCGAUUCCGGCUCCUGGGCGAAUGGGACAUACCACCGCCUCCAGGACCGGCCGGCAGGCUGGGGCUUACGGCAGCGUGGUAUUAUUCAGGUUGACCGUCGGAUCAGGUAGGGAUACCCGCUGACUUAGCUAUCAGUUGGCCCCCACAGCUACGAAUGUCUAUGGGACUUCCCCAAGGGGCCACACGAGGCUCGCGAGUAUGGAGGGGGCGCAGUACAGAAGCGACGAUCGAUGAUGUUAGGCGACGGUUGACUCGAUAGGAGUCAGCGGUA
rnacentral:rRNA from 1 species